GACUGCAAACAAAGAUGGUACAGAAAAGCAUAAAUGUUUAUAUAAGAAACUCUAAAAUGUUAACCACAGUCAAGCCCAUCUCUAACACUGAUUCAAGUACCUAACAUUAGUCAGUCAGCACAGUCAAUUUAGUAUUUAAUAGAAACAAAAAUGGCAUGACACUCACAUUUAUUGCACGAAAAGAUACGCGACAGGACUAACUUUCACUAUGGUAACACUUUUCUGUAAAUCUGGUACCCUCGCUUUGAUAAAAUUAAUUUUAGAAUACUUUGGAAAAGGUUCAACAUAACAUUACACACAGCUUCACUACUUCAGGUCAAGUAAACAUGAAUUAUGGCACUAUCAUUAUUUCACUAUAAAACAUCAGCAUCAACCUAAAGGGCCAUGUCCAGCAGCAGCUUGAAGGCAGGGAUGACAAACACCCCUUUCCCCUUCACAAUAUAAAUCUAAAUUAGAAAAUGUUUCUAUCUGCCAUGAAUUUGCCUUGAUCAGCCCGAGCUCUUAUCGCCGUAACACAAACCCUUGCCACACCAUCAAAGUUGACAUGGUGUUGGUCCAGUUAACACCCAAAGCUGACUCUCAGCCGAUCAUGCCUUCACUCAACCGAGUUCGGCCCGAAAGGUGAACAAUGGCUGACAGAGGUAAGUUCAAUCCUUUUUCAGUAGAGAAACUAAUCAACCAACUAGCUACCUAAUCAACAAAUAUUAAAAUUGUAGAUCGUUAAUUGGUCUUCUGUUAUGAAAGCAGGCUAUUGAUUAGGCAAGCUAGGUUAAAUGUCAACUAGCUAGAAAGCUAACAUUUAACCAAAUAUUUUUUUAUAACUAACCCAAGAUGGACAACAGCCUGUCGUUUCCAAUGGGAGAAAAGUAAUCAUAGUGGAUAGAACAAGCAAAGAGGUGGGCAAAGCCAAGCAUGAGCUUGCGAGAUCCUAUUGGCACGUUCUAGCAUGUAUUUACAAAUAUCCAUUAGGGAUCGUCUACUCUGUGAAGUACACGUGUGCAGUAACUCAACCUUGCACUCCUAAACAUCACCAUUUUAAACAACUUUGGCAAAGGAUAAAGUUUACAAAACUUAGUCCACUCUGUUCGUAACAUAUUGUAAUUUUGGGAACAGAAACUGUAUUAAGAUCAAAUGUUUUAUUGAUGAGAAAAUUAGCAGAAUGACGGCCAAAUCCAUCUCACUUUAUCUUCUCCCACUGCCGGCCACUGUGCUUCCUCUCACCACCAUAUUUGGUGGUGAGUAGAAAUACCAACCGCACGCUUCAGAUUUAUACAUCUGGUGAAACAUCAUCUGUGGUUUAACUCUGUGGUUUAACCAAAGAACGUUUUGUUUUAUAUACACAGUAUCUGGUUUAACUAAGAGCAUUGUAGCGAAGUCAAAACUGAGCCAUGCUGACUGACAAGUGGCAUUGGUACAGCUCUGCCCCAAAUUGCAUGUUAUUAUUUGGCUAAAUUAUCAUCCAUAGAUGCCUACAGCCACAGCAGUCUUAAAAUUGACUGUUACCUUGAUUGCAACAUUAAGAUGUUAAAACAUUUAAACUCCUAUUGAACUGUGACAUAAUUUCCAGACAUCUGGUUUCCCCUUCUCACUCCAGUUGUUCUCAACACACAUUUAACCAGGUGGAGUCAGGCUUCUACUCAGGAGACAGAUGAUGCUGCUGCCCCACGGUAAGAACCUGGAGAUCUUCACUGAGGGAGGUGACGUGGCCACAAACAGUGCCUGGUACUCGUUCCAGUGCUACCUGCCGACUGGAGAACAGCCAGGGUGUGGUCAAGACAACUUCAUAUUUAGUGUGUCAGCUCUGCUGCACCUGGGAGCCAAAAGAUGGCUCUGGAUGCUGAUGAAAUCUGACUGAAAUUAGACUGUAGUCAAUAACUUUCAAUGCCAAAUUGAAAUCAUUCAUGAUUCUGUAAUGGAUAGAAAAUGAUAGUUCCCAAUCAGACAAUUACUACAUAUCAAAUCUGUUUCUCAGUGCAAUGUUUAGUGAAUGCAUGGCAUCGUUUUUGCUGUGUGUACUGAUUCAGUUCUAAACGACCAUCAUCGAGUCCAUUCUCAACCUCCUUGAUCACUGCAACAAUUGGCCGGUCUGCUGAGAGGGUUAUUGGCUGCCACCUGCCCUCCAUUGAGGUCUCGCAUGACUCCAGGGCAAGGAAGCGUGCGGAAAAGAUCAUUGCCGACCCCUUCCACCCUUUUCCAAACGGUUCAGGUCAAUCACGACCAAAACCCCCCCGCCACCUGAACAGCUCCUUCCCCCGCACCGUGGCCCUAACCAACCGGCCACCUGGUCCACCAUGAUUCUCUCAUCCAUGGACUUUGAACUCUGCCCUAUUCAUCCACAGACUAUGCACCCUGCACCAUUAUCCAGGAACUGCACAUUGCACAUCUCUUCCGUGCAUAAUUUAGCCAGGUCCCAUUAGACUGAAAUCCAAACCAAAAAGGUGCCAUGAAUUUAAAGAGAGAAAUUGAGAGUGAAAACUUGACCAUGAAAAGUUAUUAUUGCUGGUGGACAAUUUGAUGCAUUCAAAUGUAUUUUUACAUGUUUGAAUCAUAUUUCUUUGAUUACAGUUUGAUAUGUAUUAUUUAAGACAUUUUUCUGUGGCAAUUAUGUUCUGCUCGUAGGACUUGAAGUUAGCUGGAUACCCAAUAAGCUUGUUGUUGAGUGAGAACUUCAGCGAUUGAAAUACUUAGCAAAGAGCUGCAGUUAGUUUUGGAAUGGGUAGAAAGGAAUAAGUUAGUCCUAAAUAUUUCCAAAACUAAAAGCAUUGCAUCUGGGAA